CCUACGGGAGGCAGCAGUGGGGAAUAUUGGACAAUGGGGGAAACCCUGAUCCAGCAAUGCCGCGUGAAUGAAGAAGGCCUUAGGGUUGUAAAAUUCUUUUGUUCGUGAAGAUAAUGACGGUAGCGGACGAAUAAGCCCUGGCUAACUCUGUGCCAGCAGCCGCGGUAAU
rnacentral:rRNA from 1 species